rnacentral:rRNA from 1 species
AUGAACGCUGGCGGCGUGCCUAACACAUGCAAGUCGAGCGAGAAAUCACAGAACAGAGAUUCGUCAACGGGAAGUGGUGGACAGCGGCGGACGGGUGAGUAACGCGUAGGUAACCUACCUUAUACUGAAGGAUAGCCUAGGGAAACCUGGAUUAAUACUUCAUAAUGCAUUUGUAUCACAUGGUGUGAAUGCCAAAGAUUUAUCGGUAUAAGAUGGACCUGCGUCUGAUUAGAUAGUUGGUGAGGUAACGGCCCACCAAGUCAACGAUCAGUAGCCGAUCUGAGAGGAUAAUCGGCCACAUUGGAACUGAGACACGGUCCAAACUCCUACGGGAGGCAGCAGUGGGGAAUAUUGCACAAUGGGCGAAAGCCUGAUGCAGCAACGCCGCGUGAGCGAUGAAGGUCUUCGGAUUGUAAAGCUCUGUCCUCUGGGACGAAGAAAGUGACGGUACCAGAGGAGGAAGCCCCGGCUAACUACGUGCC